AUGUCCCCUUCCAGCUUGACGCCCUCCACCUCCAGGUCGGGGCUCUUGAUGUCGACCUUGCCCUUGGGCAGGGACACGUCCACACUGGGCAUGGUGACGUCCACUUUGGGGCCUUUGAUGUCUGCUUUGGGCAAUUGGGGCAUUUUGAUGCUGGGCAUGUGGACCUUGGGCAAAUGGCCUUUGAUGCCGGCACUGCCUGCCUUCCCUUUCAGGUCGCCAAGCUCGGCUUCGGCCUCGGGCACGUGGGCCUCAAUGGCCACCCCUUUGACGUCCACCUCCACUGAGGGCAGCUCCACACUCAGGUCGCCAGCCUUGACCUCGCCCUUUACGGAGGGAAGGGCCACGUCCACGUCGGCCUUGGGCAGGCUCACGUCCACAGAGGCUGACCCUUCCUUGCUGGGAACAGAAACGCCAAAGGAUGGCAUCUUAAAUUUGGGCAUCUUGAACUUGCUGUCCUUGCCCUCCGCGUCCUUGUCACCCAGCUUGAUGUCCCCUUCCAGCUUGACGCCCUCCACCUCCAGGUCGGGGCUCUUGAUGUCGACCUUGCCCUUGGGCAGGGACACGUCCACACUGGGCAUGGUGAGGUCCACUUUGGGGCCUUUGAUGUCUGCUUUGGGCAAUUGGGGCAUUUUGAUGCUGGGCAUGUGGACCUUGGGCAAAUGGCCUUUGAUGCCGGCACUGCCUGCCUUCCCUUUCAGGUCGCCAAGCUCGGCUUCGGCCUCGGGCACGUGGGCCUCAAUGGCCACCCCUUUGACGUCCACCUCCACUGAGGGCAGCUCCACACUCAGGUCGCCAGCCUUGACCUCGCCCUUUACGGAGGGAAGGGCCACGUCCACGUCGGCCUUGGGCAGGCUCACGUCCACAGAGGCUGACCCUUCCUUGCUGGGAACAGAAACGCCAAAGGAUGGCAUCUUAAAUUUGGGCAUCUUGAACUUGCUGUCCUUGCCCUCCGCGUCCUUGUCACCCAGCUUGAUGUCCCCUUCCAGCUUGACGCCCUCCACCUCCAGGUCGGGGCUCUUGAUGUCGACCUUGCCCUUGGGCAGGGACACGUCCACACUGGGCAUGGUGACGUCCACUUUGGGGCCUUUGAUGUCUGCUUUGGGCAAUUGGGGCAUUUUGAUGCUGGGCAUGUGGACCUUGGGCAAAUGGCCUUUGAUGCCGGCACUGCCUGCCUUCCCUUUCAGGUCGCCAAGCUCGGCUUCGGCCUCGGGCACGUGGGCCUCAAUGGCCACCCCUUUGACGUCCACCUCCACUGAGGGCAGCUCCACACUCAGGUCGCCAGCCUUGACCUCGCCCUUUACGGAGGGAAGGGCCACGUCCACGUCGGCCUUGGGCAGGCUCACGUCCACAGAGGCUGACCCUUCCUUGCUGGGAACAGAAACGCCAAAGGAUGGCAUCUUAAAUUUGGGCAUCUUGAACUUGCUGUCCUUGCCCUCCGCGUCCUUGUCACCCAGCUUGAUGUCCCCUUCCAGCUUGACGCCCUCCACCUCCAGGUCGGGGCUCUUGAUGUCGACCUUGCCCUUGGGCAGGGACACGUCCACACUGGGCAUGGUGACGUCCACUUUGGGGCCUUUGAUGUCUGCUUUGGGCAAUUGGGGCAUUUUGAUGCUGGGCAUGUGGACCUUGGGCAAAUGGCCUUUGAUGCCGGCACUGCCUGCCUUCCCUUUCAGGUCGCCAAGCUCGGCUUCGGCCUCGGGCACGUGGGCCUCAAUGGCCACCCCUUUGACGUCCACCUCCACUGAGGGCAGCUCCACACUCAGGUCGCCAGCCUUGACCUCGCCCUUUACGGAGGGAAGGGCCACGUCCACGUCGGCCUUGGGCAGGCUCACGUCCACAGAGGCUGACCCUUCCUUGCUGGGAACAGAAACGCCAAAGGAUGGCAUCUUAAAUUUGGGCAUCUUGAACUUGCUGUCCUUGCCCUCCGCGUCCUUGUCACCCAGCUUGAUGUCCCCUUCCAGCUUGACGCCCUCCACCUCCAGGUCGGGGCUCUUGAUGUCGACCUUGCCCUUGGGCAGGGACACGUCCACACUGGGCAUGGUGAGGUCCACUUUGGGGCCUUUGAUGUCUGCUUUGGGCAAUUGGGGCAUUUUGAUGCUGGGCAUGUGGACCUUGGGCAAAUGGCCUUUGAUGCCGGCACUGCCUGCCUUCCCUUUCAGGUCGCCAAGCUCGGCUUCGGCCUCGGGCACGUGGGCCUCAAUGGCCACCCCUUUGACGUCCACCUCCACUGAGGGCAGCUCCACACUCAGGUCGCCAGCCUUGACCUCGCCCUUUACGGAGGGAAGGGCCACGUCCACGUCGGCCUUGGGCAGGCUCACGUCCACAGAGGCUGACCCUUCCUUGCUGGGAACAGAAACGCCAAAGGAUGGCAUCUUAAAUUUGGGCAUCUUGAACUUGCUGUCCUUGCCCUCCGCGUCCUUGUCACCCAGCUUGAUGUCCCCUUCCAGCUUGACGCCCUCCACCUCCAGGUCGGGGCUCUUGAUGUCGACCUUGCCCUUGGGCAGGGACACGUCCACACUGGGCAUGGUGAGGUCCACUUUGGGGCCUUUGAUGUCUGCUUUGGGCAAUUGGGGCAUUUUGAUGCUGGGCAUGUGGACCUUGGGCAAAUGGCCUUUGAUGCCGGCACUGCCUGCCUUCCCUUUCAGGUCGCCAAGCUCGGCUUCGGCCUCGGGCACGUGGGCCUCAAUGGCCACCCCUUUGACGUCCACCUCCACUGAGGGCAGCUCCACACUCAGGUCGCCAGCCUUGACCUCGCCCUUUACGGAGGGAAGGGCCACGUCCACGUCGGCCUUGGGCAGGCUCACGUCCACAGAGGCUGACCCUUCCUUGCUGGGAACAGAAACGCCAAAGGAUGGCAUCUUAAAUUUGGGCAUCUUGAACUUGCUGUCCUUGCCCUCCGCGUCCUUGUCACCCAGCUUGAUGUCCCCUUCCAGCUUGACGCCCUCCACCUCCAGGUCGGGGCUCUUGAUGUCGACCUUGCCCUUGGGCAGGGACACGUCCACACUGGGCAUGGUGACGUCCACUUUGGGGCCUUUGAUGUCUGCUUUGGGCAAUUGGGGCAUUUUGAUGCUGGGCAUGUGGACCUUGGGCAAAUGGCCUUUGAUGCCGGCACUGCCUGCCUUCCCUUUCAGGUCGCCAAGCUCGGCUUCGGCCUCGGGCACGUGGGCCUCAAUGGCCACCCCUUUGACGUCCACCUCCACUGAGGGCAGCUCCACACUCAGGUCGCCAGCCUUGACCUCGCCCUUUACGGAGGGAAGGGCCACGUCCACGUCGGCCUUGGGCAGGCUCACGUCCACAGAGGCUGACCCUUCCUUGCUGGGAACAGAAACGCCCAAAGGAUGGCAUCUUAAAUUUGGGCAUCUUGAACUUGCUGUCCUUGCCCUCCGCGUCCUUGUCACCCAGCUUGAUGUCCCCUUCCAGCUUGACGCCCUCCACCUCCAGGUCGGGGCUCUUGAUGUCGACCUUGCCCUUGGGCAGGGACACGUCCACACUGGGCAUGGUGACGUCCACUUUGGGGCCUUUGAUGUCUGCUUUGGGCAAUUGGGGCAUUUUGAUGCUGGGCAUGUGGACCUUGGGCAAAUGGCCUUUGAUGCCGGCACUGCCUGCCUUCCCUUUCAGGUCGCCAAGCUCGGCUUCGGCCUCGGGCACGUGGGCCUCAAUGGCCACCCCUUUGACGUCCACCUCCACUGA
rnacentral:lncRNA from 1 species